UAGGGAAUCUUCCGCAAUGGGCGAAAGCUUGACGGAGCAACGCCGCGUGAGUGAUGAAGGUCUUCGGAUCGUAAAACUCUGUUAUUAGGGAAGAACAAAUGUGUAAGUAACUAUGCACGUCUUGACGGUACCUAAUCAGAAAGCCACGGCUAACUACGUGCCAGCAGCCGCGGUAAUACGUAGGUGGCAAGCGUUAUCCGGAAUUAUUGGGCGUAAAGCGCGCGUAGGCGGUUUUUUAAGUCUGAUGUGAAAGCCCACGGCUCAACCGUGGAGGGUCAUUGGAAACUGGAAAACUUGAGUGCAGAAGAGGAAAGUGGAAUUCCAUGUGUAGCGGUGAAAUGCGCAGAGAUAUGGAGGAACACCAGUGGCGAAGGCGACUUUCUGGUCUGUAACUGACGCUGAUGUGUGAAAGCGUGGGGAUCAAACAGG
rnacentral:rRNA from 1 species